AAUAGUAGUCUUAUGGUCAGCAUUGGCACUGCAUGUAGUCAAGGCUGGUUAUAGUCAGAUCACUUGACCUAUGAACUCAAGAUAUACCACAGCAGACGGUUUGCACUGCACUGCACUAGUACUACUGGACUGGACAACACAGCUGGUUGGUACAAGGUGGAGAGUAGUGCUAGUGAUCAGUAGAAUCAUGACUUCCCGAACAGUGAUCACAAUAUCCCAGAGAGAAUUUCUUGUGAGGAAAUUUGAAGAAGGGAUGCACAGUUGUGGACAGAACACUCUGAAUGCUCGACAAGCUGCUGCUACUGAGACUGGCUUGACAUUAAAUACUAUAAACUAUUGGAUAAACAAUCACAAGAAACGGCACACCAGCUCUCAUUGUGACACUGUUCCUCGUGCUAGAACUAAAAAGCUGUCCACACGUAGGAAAUUAAGGCAGGCCUCUGGCUUUAAUGUCUUCAGUAAAGAGUUUCACAAACAACAAGAUCUCAAAGGGAAGACUCUCUCAGAUAAAUCAAAAUUGAUGGCAGAGGCUUGGAGAAAAAUCAGCACUGCUGAUAAGGAAAAGUACAAUGCAGUAGCAAACGAUAUUGAGGGUAGCAAUGAGGAGGAGGAUGAGGAGGAACUAACGCCGGAAAAGAAGAGGCAGCUCAUUGUUCGGGUUGCUAAGAGACAUCAGGGAGAUGUAGGUGUUGUGAGUACUGUAUGCCAAUCUGCUGCAAUCACUUGGUUGUGAGAUGGCUACAAUGAUGUUUGUUGAUAAAAAGGUUUUAAGUGUGGGAACCACAGAUGGGAAAAAAUUUCUUCAAUCUCACCCUGCAAUCCUGUCAUCCUUCAGCUCCUACUUUCUGUAUGAUGACCUGUCCAAGAAACAAUUUGCUACCCCAGCCACUGCAGCCUCGGCAAGUACAACCAGUCUCAACACAAAUUCCAGCUCAUUCAAUGUUACCUCAACAAACGCAAACCCAAUCAACACCACCUCAUCUACUACAUCCAAAGCUGUUAUUUCCACUGUGAAGAAAUCAACCACUAAAACUACAACCAAAGCAACACCUUCUGGAAUCUUGUCCAAUCAAGCUAUUUCUAACACUGGUACCGUCAGUACGAUUUUUAUGAAAGGCAGAGAUGGAAGUAUUGUUGCAACAGGUACAGUGCUUCCUGGUGUACAUAAAACCAUUCAUGGUCGUCCUUGCCAAAAAGAUUGUGAAACGCUUUCCGUUGUGGAUGUUGUACAAGUUGGUGCUGAAGCUUGGUUUGAAGAUGCUUUUGGGGAAAAUAAAUUGAGCACAGGGAUCAUCGUGGAAUGGCCGAGCAGUAUGAUAUCAAACGUAGCUGAUGUCUCCCCACUUCAUACAAGAACUAAUCGCAAACGUAAAUAACCAGCUGACUAUAAAACUACUAUGAUAAUUGUUAUAAUUAUUGUAUAUACAAUUGUAAUAGGAAUGGUAAAGGUUUCCUUCCAUUUUAUUCGCGAUUCUAUAUUCUCUCUAUCUUGUGUACUGUAUACGUAAGUAAGAUUACGUUAUUAUUGUUUGUACGUACGUAUAUAAUUAUGUAUGUUACAAUUGUAUGUAUGACAUAGAUAAUAAUUUAUGUCCGAGUUUAGGACUAUAUAUAUAAUUGUCAAAACUAUAUGCAGUUCAUAUUCAUAUAAUGUUG